CUGCUUUGCGAAAAGGAGAAGUUAGUUUGGGCUAGGAAAAAAAACCAAUAGGAGGGGGAUUCCGGCCUGCCCCAAACAGCCCUGAUUGGUUGAGAUGGGCUUCCCAGGAGGGGAAGGCAGGGGGAAAUUCGUUGGUCCGCUCAGCAUAAAAUGCCCGGGAAGGAGCGCGGUGGACCGGGUCGGAGUGCAGUUUGUGUUCGUGGCGGACCGGUCAGACGGCUGCGUCCCUGCAGGCAAGGCCCCCGCUGCCUCUUUGGCACUGGCCAGCACGGCUGAGCGAGGCCACCUACCUGGCGAUGCCGCCUUCCGAAGCCGGCCAGAGGCCAACGACCUGCCUCGGGUGCUCACGUGCAGGAGAUGGAGGCAUAGACCUCCCCUGGCAUUGUUCCAUGCAACUGGUGUUUGGAGGCAAGCUGCCCCCAACCUGGAAGUAACACUGAGUCCUCAAGAUCAACAGCCCUUAUGAAAUGAUUUAAGUGUGGAGUGUUACUGUCGCUGGAAUGAUCUUCACACCCUUACUCUCUGUUCAUGUUGCUUUCCUCUGUGGGGUUCGCAGUGUGCAGCUUGGUCUCUCCAGCAACAGAAUUCGCUGCCUCCUAUUCUGCUUUCAGUCAAUUACCAGCUUCUGUGAAAGCAUAAGAAUGGGCAACGGAAUCCCAAAAGCAGCUGUUUUCCUCUGAGUCUUCCAGCUGCACUUGGAUUCCGUUCCUUGCUCUUUUGCCCACCUCUCCGGGAUUUCAUUGAUUCUUUUCUGUAACUUGUGGCAUAGGGAACUGUCUGGGGAGCCACUGGAAGGAACAAGAUCUUUUAAAAAAAUAAUAAAGUGCAAAGACCCAGUUCUGUUCAAUAAUGAGAACUGGAAACUUGUUCUUUUUAAAAUGAUUAGUGAGAAGCUCAGCAUCCGCUCCAAAAUUCUGAGCUAGCUAGCCACCAAGAGCAAUGGAUGCCACAGGAUUCUUUGUUCAGUGGUAGAAAAUUAGACCACGAUAUAGAGAGAGACUGGCAGUUCUUAAACUGGCUAAAUAUCAACGAUGAAGGAAAAUAAAAUGUUGGGUAGAAGUAUGAAACAAUAAUAAAGAAAAAUUUGUUUGCCUCCUG